rnacentral:rRNA from 1 species
AUUGAACGCUGGCGGCAGGCCUAACACAUGCAAGUCGAACGAGUGGCGGACGGGUGAGUAAUGUCUGGGAAACUGCCUGAUGGAGGGGGAAAACUACUGGAAACGGUAGCUAAUAACGCAUACUAUCGGAUGUGCCCAGAUGGGAUUAGCUAGUAGGUGGGGGAAAGGCUCACCUAGGCGACGAUCCCUAGCUGGUCUGAGAGGAUGACCAGCCCUACUGGAACGGAGACACGGUCAAGACUCCGACGGGAGGCAGCAGGGGGGAAUAUUGCACAAUGGGCGCAAGCCUGAUGCAGCCAUGCCGGGUGUAUGAAGAAGGCCUUCGGGUUGUAAAGUAUUUUCAGCGGGGAGGCGUUACCCGCAGAAGAAGCACCGGCUAACUCCGUGCCAGCAGCCGCGGUAAUUC